GAUACUCACAGUAAGAAGUUAAACGGUGGAAGGUACCAUCUCCUAUAUGAAAGGAGGUGAUGCCUAUGGCUACUUUUGAUGCCUUAUCUUUAAUGAUCAGCUUUGGCUUGCUUAUUAUAGCCAUUCUUUCAUUUCAUGAUAAAGACCAAAAGUAAAAAAACCACCCUUCGCUUGCCGGCAAACAGGGUGGCUUCAUUGUCACUUAAAACAGCCUUCCCUCUCUGAUGGAGAGAAAUCACUGUGUGUAUUUUCCGGGCAGCAUGUGGUUGCAUGCUGCC
rfam:Oceanobacillus oncorhynchi strain Oc5 genome assembly, contig: CONTIG000001